UCCCAUGUGGUCUAGUGGUUAGGAUUCCUGGCAUUCACCCAGGGGGCCACGGUUCGAUUCCGGCAUGGGAA